rfam:Myotis brandtii contig225388, whole genome shotgun sequence.
CGCAGUACUCAGGUGACAAACCCUAGAAACAGGCUCCCUUUUCUCUGAUUCCGGGUGCAUCACCCAAGAACCACA